UACGUAGGGUGCGAGCGUUAAUCGGAAUUACUGGGCGUAAAGCGUGCGCAGGCGGUUUUGUAAGCCAGAUGUGAAAGCCCCGGGCUUAACCUGGGAAUGGCAUUUGGGACUGCAAGGCUUGAGUGCGGCAGAGGGAGGUGGAAUUCCACGUGUAGCAGUGAAAUGCGUAGAGAUGUGGAGGAACACCGAUGGCGAAGGCAGCCUCCUGGGCCAGCACUGACGCUCAUGCACGAAAGCGUGGGGAGCAAACAGG
rnacentral:rRNA from 1 species